ensembl:lncRNA
CUUUCUUACUUUUUUUUUUCUUCCGUCUUCUUCUUCUUCUUCUUGUUUCAUGGCGGUUUGGUGCACUUCCGCCACCUACUGGGUUGGAGUGUAGAGCAUCAACGCGAAGGCAAAAAAAACCCCCUAAAAACAAAGAAAAACUAUCGACUAUAUCCUUCUAUACAACUUUGUUCCCUUAAGGUGGCGAAAACUCUGAGAUCUGAAGGGAUUGAAGACUAAUGCAGGGAUGGCUUUUUUCUGCUGAACAGCUAUGAGAGAGAGAAACUCACCUCUACUCCAAGAAAACCGUGUCCACCACCACCUCCACUGACAAGUAUUGGAGCUUGUCACGUCACGGCGAGUUCGCAACUACGGUCCCCAGAAUGCAGUGCCAACUACAAACAUGGCCGACGAGAACUACACUUCCCGACCAUGCAUGCGCUCACGUUCACCGGAAUACUGAGUGAGAACACCUGUGUCGCACCAUAGGUUAUAAAAGGCCUCGUUAACUUCAGCGCCUCGCGAAGUAAACGCUCAGCAACCUUUCACCUGACGUUCACCAAGCCUUGUUCACGUUUUGGAUUUCUACGGUUUUUGGAGUUUUUGGAUUGCGUUUCCCUGCAUAGCAUAACUUACAUACUCUUACUCAAGUUUUAAUCACAGAAAUGUACUUUUACUUCGCUACAUUCGGUGGCGUUCCUCCGUUACUGUUAACUGUGAAGGAAUAUAAGUAGUUUUAAGAAUUAGUUUAUAUCAUGUAUAAUGAGGUCGCAAGUGUCGCGAUACACUAAAUUGCCUUAAAUAUAAAAAAAUAUAUAUCUCCUCAAAGUGUAUAAGAAAUGUAAACUCCAACCACUUUGUGUCUCCUGUCUGUAAAAUAAGACAGACGUUAUUUAGAAAUUUCCAUCCAUCUUCAACCGCUUACUCCUUUUCAGGGUCACGGGGAACCUGGAGCCUAUCCCAGGGAGCAUUGGGCACAAGGCGUGGUACACCCUGGACAGGGUGCCAGUCCAUCGCAGGACACAAUCACAUACACACACCCAUUCAUACACUACGGACACUUUAGACACGCCAAUCAGCCUACCAUGCAUGUGUUUGGACUGGGGGAGGAAACCAGAGUACCCGGAGGAAACCCCCGCAGCACGGGGAGAACAUGCAAACUCCGCACACACACACAGGGCCCUGAUGGGAAUCGAACCCCUGACCCUGGAGGCGUGAGGCGAACGUGCUCACCACUAAGCCACCGUGUGCCCCUAUUUAGAAAUAUUACUGUAUUAAAUUAAAUAUUUAAUUAUGUUUUUGUUGUAAUGUAAUGUUUUACUCUGCCGUUGUUGUCACCGUAAUAAAUUUACACCGUGUUGAGCGCGGAAAACACCAACCCCGGAAGUGCGAAUAAGGUGAAUUGCUUAUGCAGACGUUAUGGUUGUUGUCAGUUUAAUAAACGUUCUUACAGAACACUAUUAUGGAGCACACACUUCUCAGGUAAAUGCAUGAGACCAUUAUAUAUUCUUAUUUUACAGUGAUACCAUGUUCUGUUGUUUUGUGCUAACUCGGUGUUCCCCUGCUUUAAGUCCGCGUAAAGUACUUGUGUCAGGCUGGCUGGUUAGAGUCUGUUACUGAUCGCUUUAGGAAGAGCCUUCAGAAUGGAGUUGGGGAAGAUAUCUACAGCUCAAUUAAUAAAGGAGCUAAAGCGAUUUGGCACAGAAGUCAAUUUAAUAAUAACUAUGGCCAGCACUGUAUAUGUUUGCAUAUACAGCCAUUGUAACUAGUGAUUAGCUAGUUCCGUUUUACAUUUUGAGAGCAUUGGUCCCGCUGUUGCAAUGAUAUUUUAUUAUAUGCUGCACAAGAGUUGCCCAACUCUCUCUCAGAUUAUAUGCCGCCAUUUUGUGGUGAUUUGAGACAGGGCCGUUUCUGGCCAUUUUGGCGCCCUAGGCGAGAUUCCUCUUAAACUAAUGUGUGAAACCUAACUAAUUAGCAAGCUGGCUAGCUACCAUCCAACACUGCGUUAUCUAGGUCAGCGUUUCUCAACCUUUUUUGAGUCAUGGCACCCAUUGAAAAUGUAAAAAAAAUUUGUAGCACCCUACACAAACACUAAUUCUAGACAGCGUUAAGCUUGGUUUAUACUCGACUUGUCCGCAAUAGUGCGAGGGAGCUUGCGGAAAAUAUGACAUCGUCGUGGAGUGGACGGUCCAGCGCGUUGAGUGCGCGAGACCUCAUUCAACCGAAACCGCGUGACGGUUUGCAUGGCGUUCUUUAUAACUUGCCGUGUGGAGCCAGAUCCGGAAAUGAUUGACUUCGAGGCGACUCUUGCCGGAAGGUACGAUUGUACAGGCAUCUCUAUGAUCCAUCCAUGCGGGACCAUAGACAUGGACAGAUGCCACAAAAUUCAUGGAACCGGUUUUCAAAAAUAGUGAUUUGGAUUUGCUUUGUACAUACUGCUGAG